AGAUUGAACGCUGGCGGCAUGCUUUACACAUGCAAGUCGAACGGUAACAGGCCGCAAGGUGCUGACGAGUGGCGAACGGGUGAGUAAUGUAUCGGAACGUGCCCAGUCGUGGGGGAUAACGCAGCGAAAGCUGCGCUAAUACCGCAUACGAUCUAUGGAUGAAAGCGGGGGACCGUAAGGCCUCGCGCGAUUGGAGCGGCCGAUAUCAGAUUAGGUAGUUGGUGGGGUAAAGGCUCACCAAGCCAACGAUCUGUAGCUGGUCUGAGAGGACGACCAGCCACACUGGGACUGAGACACGGCCCAGACUCCUACGGGAGCAGCAGU
rnacentral:rRNA from 1 species